CAUAUAGAUGCAUCCUUCAUAUUUACACCUACAAUUUUCAAGAAGGUGAAGCUUGAGAUUAUUAAAUCUAUGGAUUGGGAAAUGAUAGAUUUAAAAUAUGAGGAUACAGUAGUCAAGGUCAAUGACAAGAUGGAUGACAUUCCUGAAAGUUGCAUAGUUCACAGGUAUGGUGAGACAUAUACAUGGUCAGACCAGAUGGAAAUGUAUCGCAGGUUGCAUAGCUUCGGUAGCGAAGUACUAUUGAAGUGCUCCAUGUCCGAGGAAUGUACAUUAAAGGUGAUGGAGAUGCUAGAAAAUUUGGAUUUAGAAACCGAAGAUUGUGAUGGAAAUGAAAUUGAAAGGACAUUGUGUGGUCAUGUGGUAGCUCAAAGUUUACGUACAGAUGUGAGUUGGCAUGUUUUGAUUCAUGAUCCCAUGGAGGUAGUUCCAAAGGGUGCUCCACCAAAAAGAUUGAGAGGAUUUUUGGAGAAGCGUGUUAGGCGUUGUGGUUAUUGCCGUAAAGGUAAUUUCUAUAUGACAAGUCAAGUUAAUUAA
rnacentral:lncRNA from 1 species